GACAGAGGGGGCGAGCGUUGUCCGGAGUCACUGGGCGUAAAGCGCGCGCAGGCGGCAACCUAAGUGUCGUGUGAAAGCCCCCGGCUCAACCGGGGGAGGCCAUGGCAAACUGGGUCGCUCGAGCUGCGGAGAGGCCCCUCGAAUUGCAGGUGUAGCGGUGAAAUGCGUAGAGAUCGGCAGGAAGACCAAGGGGGAAGCCAGGGGGCUGGCCGCAGACUGACGCUGAGGCGAGAAAGCGUGGGGAGCAAACAGG
rnacentral:rRNA from 1 species